rnacentral:misc_RNA from 1 species
CCGAGUUUUCAACUCCCAAACCCACUGUGAACCUAUACCUAUCCGUUGCUUCGGCGGGUCGAGGCCCCGGCGACGACCGCCCCCCACGUGGGGAGGCCGGCCCGGACAACAUGGCCCCCGCCGGAGGACCCCCAAACUCUUGGAAUUCUACUCAGUAUUCUGAUUUCUACAAAAAACAAAUGAAUCA